rnacentral:rRNA from 1 species
UCGGGCCUUUUUAGUGGCAAACGGGCGAGUAACACAUAUUUAACUUGCUCAUCCGAGGAGAAUAGCAGCCCGAAAGGGCUAUUAAUACGCCAUAGCUUUAAAUUAGUGAAUUAAUUUAAAUUAAAGGAGGCUGCCGAAAGGUGGCCUCGCGGAUGAAUAGGAAUAUGUCCUAUUAGGUCGUUGGAGAGGUAAUGGCUCACCAAGCCGAUGAUGGGUAGCUGGACUGAAAGGUUGAACAGCCGCAAUGGGAUUGAGAAAUGGCCCAUAUUCCUACGGGAAGCAGCAGUGAGGAAUUUUUCACAAUGGACGAAAGUCUGAUGGAGCAAUACCACGUGAACGAUGAAGGUCUUCUGAUUGUAAAGUUCUUUUAUUUAGGAAAAAAAGCGCGGCAGGAAAUGGCCGCGCCUUGAUUGUACUAAUUGAAUAAGUGACAGCUAACUAUGUGCCAGCAGCUGCGGUAAAACAUAGGUCACGAGCAUUAUCCGGAUUUAUUGGGCGUAAAGGAAGCGUAGGCUGAAAUGUGUAUUCAUUGUUAAAAAUAUUUGCUUAACAAGUGUUCGCGGUGAAGAUUACAUUUCUAGAAUUAGUUAGAGGGUACUGGAAUUCAAUGUGUAGUGGUGGAAUACGUAGAUAUAUUGAGGAACACCAGAGGCUAAGGCGAGUGCCUGGAACAUAAUUGACGCUGAGGCUUGAAAGCGUGGGUAGCAAAUGGGAUUAGAUACCCCAGUAGUCCACGCCGUAAACGAUGGGUAUUAGUCAUUUGGAUUUAAGACUGAGUGAUGUAGCUA